GACGAACGCUGGCGCGUGCUUAACACAUGCAGGUCGAACGGAAAGGCCCUGCUUUUGUGGGGUGCUCGAGUGGCGAACGGGUGAGUAACACGUGAGUAACCUGCCCUUGACUUUGGGAUAACUUUAGGAAACUGGGGCUAAUACCGGAUAGGAGCUCCUGCUGCAUGGUGGGGGUUGGAAAGUUUCGGCGGUUGGGGAUGGACUCGCGGCUUAUCAGCUUGUUGGUGGGGUAGUGGCUUACCAAGGCUUUGACGGGUAGCCGGCCUGAGAGGGUGACCGGCCACAUUGGGACUGAGAUACGGCCCAGACUCCUACGGGAGGCAGCAGUGGGGAAUAUUGCACAAUGGGCGGAAGCCUGAUGCAGCAACGCCGCGUGCGGGAUGACGGCCUUCGGGUUGUAAACCGCUUUCGCCUGUGACGAAGCGUGAGUGACGGUAAUGGGUAAAGAAGCACCGGCUAACUACGUG
rnacentral:rRNA from 1 species